rnacentral:rRNA from 1 species
UUUGAUCUCAAAUCAGGUAGGACUACCCGCUGAACUUAAGCAUAUCAAUAAGCGGAGGAAAAGAAACUAACAAGGAUUCCCCUAGUAACUGCGAGUGAAGCGGGAAGAGC